rnacentral:rRNA from 1 species
AGAAUCAACGCUGGCGGCGUGCCUAACACAUGCAAGUCGAACGCGAAAGGGGAGCAAUCCCUGAUUAGAGUGGCAAACGGGUGAGUAACACGUGGGUGACCUGCCUUCGAGUGGGGGAUAACCUUCCGAAAGGAGGGCUAAUACCGCAUGACAUACCGUGUUUGGAUACACGGAUAUCAAAGCCGGGGAUCGCAAGACCUGGCGCUUGAAGAGGGGCCCGCGUCCGAUUAGCUAGUUGGUGGGUAACGGCUCACCAAGGCUCCGAUCGGU